GACGAACGCUGGCGGCGUGCUUAACACAUGCAAGUCGAGCGGUAAGGCCCUUUCGGGGUACACGAGCGGCGAACGGGUGAGUAACACGUGGGUGACCUGCCCUCAGCUCUGGGAUAAGCCUGGGAAACCGGGUCUAAUACUGGAUAUGACUCCAUGACGCAUGUUGUGGGGUGGAAAGCCUUGUGCGGCUGAGGAUGGGCCCGCGGCCUAUCAGCUUGUUGGUGGGGUGAGGCCUACCAAGGCGACGACGGGUAGCCGGCCUGAGAGGGCGACCGGCCACACUGGGACUGAGACACGGCCCAGACUCCUACGGGAGG
rnacentral:rRNA from 1 species